CCCGCUGAACUUAAGCAUAUCACUAGGCGGAGGAAAAGAAACUAACAAGUAUUCCCGGAGUAACGGCGAGUGAAAUGGGAAAAGCCCAGCACCGAAUCCCGCAGUGUCUCAUUGUUGGGAAAUGUGGUGUGAAGGAGGUACUAUCUGGCGUUGUUGGGCACUCUAAGUUCCCUUGACUGGGGCCACAGUCCGUAGAAGGUGCAAGACCUGUGAGAGUGUUCGACGCGACAGUGUGUGUUUCCGUGGAGUCGGGUUGCCUGAGGUCGCAGCUCAAAGCAGGUGGUAAGCCUCACCUAAGGCUAAAUAUGGCCAUGAGACCGAUAGCGAACAAGUACCGUGAGGGAAAGUUGCAAAGAACUUUGAAGAGAGAGUUUCAAGAGGACGUGAAACUGCUCGGAAGGAAACGGGUAGAGUUACUGAUAGUACAGCUGAUUCAUGUUGGCAUUGUUUGCUGGUGUGCUAUGUUGUCCGUAAGGCUUCGUGGUGCAUUUUGGCGGGUGAUGCUGGCAGCAUUUCAGUUGUAUGCGCGCUGAGGAUGAUCGACUGUUCCGUGUGCGUCUUUUGGUUGACGGUGGCAGCACUUGUGUUAUCACCAGCCUUUGGACUGUGCUUGAGUAAUGGUUGAUCGUUGUCGGAUGCUGGCGGUGUGCGAUUUGUGUGCCAGAAUGUUGUGCAUAUGGGAAGGCGCUUGCGUCGACUUGUAUGUAUGAUGUUUUGGUGUGCUACAAUCGCUGUCGGUGUCUUCUCGGUGUACAAGGUGACCACCUACCUGACCCGUCUUGAAACACGG
rnacentral:rRNA from 1 species